rnacentral:tRNA from 1 species
UUUAGCAAGUUGCUGGUGGCAUAAUACAUUUUGGUUGUAUAGGAGGUUUGUGGCCUGCUUUUC